rnacentral:rRNA from 1 species
AGAGUUUGAUCCUGGCUCAGGAUGAACGCUGGCGGCGUGCUUAACACAUGCAAGUCGAACGCUGAAGCUCCCAGCUUGCUGGGGGUGGAUGAGUGGCGAACGGGUGAGUAUCACGUGAGUAACCUGCCCUUGACUCUGGGAUAAGCCCGGGAAACUGGGUCUAAUACUGGAUAGGACUGGCCAUCGCAUGGUGGUUGGUUGAAAGCUUUUGCGGUUUUGGAUGGACUCGCGGCCUAUCAGCUUGUUGGUGGGGUAAUGGCCUACCAAGGCUUUGACGGGUAGCCGGCCUGAGAGGGUGACCGGCCACACUGGGACUGAGACACGGCCCAGACUCCUACGGGAGGCAGCAGUGGGGGAUAUUGCACAAUGGGCGCAAGCCUGAUGCAGCGACGCCGCGUGAGGGAUGACGGCCUUCGGGUUGUAAACCUCUUUCGGUUGGGAAGAAGCCUUUCGGGGUGACGGUACCUUCAGAAGAAGCACCGGCUAACUACGUGCCAGCAGCCGCGGUAAUACGUAGGGUGCGAGCGUUAUCCGGAAUUAUUGGGCGUAAAGAGCUCGUAGGCGGUUUGUCACGUCUGCUGUGAAAGCUCGGGGCUUAACUCCGAGUGUGCAGUGGGUACGGGCAGGCUGGAGUGCAGUAGGGGAGACUGGAAUUCCUGGUGUAGCGGUGAAAUGCGCAGAUAUCAGGAGGAACACCGAUGGCGAAGGCAGGUCUCUGGGCUGUUACUGACGCUGAGGAGCGAAAGCAUGGGGAGCGAACAGGAUUAGAUACCCUGGUAUC